UUCCGUUUCGUCUAAUGGCAGGACAUCGGUCUUUGACCCCGAUAAUGGAAGUUCGAUUCUUUCAGCGGAAACCA
rnacentral:tRNA from 1 species